GUUUUUCGCCCUAAGAUAAGCCCGCGCAAGAUUAGCUAGUUGGUGAGGUAAUGGCUCACCAAGGCAACGAUCUUUAGCUGGUCUGAGAGGAUGAUCAGCCACACUGGAACUGAGACACGGUCCAGACUCCUACGGGAGGCAGCAGUAGGGAAUAUUGCGCAAUGGGGGAAACCCUGACGCAGCGACGCCGCGUGAGUGAUGAAGGCCUUCGGGUCGUAAAGCUCUGUCGUAUGGGAAUAACACAAUG
rnacentral:rRNA from 1 species